GAACGUAUUGUUUGCCCAGAAACAGAGAAACAAAAUGCCUCCAGAGCUCGGGGGUGCGUCUGGAUCUGAUGCCUUGUGUUCGUCAGCACAUCCAGACCUUGAGGAGCAGCAGGUGGGCAGCGCAGUCCUCUCAUCGGGCUGAGCAGUACCUAACGUUAACCACAGAAUUCUUCACCAGGUCUGAAUAGUGCUGCUAUUGCCGUCACCCUAUUACUGUCCACUCUUCUGAGAGCACGGAGUAUUUGCUCAUGUGGUGCUUUGUUAAAUGAAACCUUUUUGAACUGCCCAGUCACAGCGAAACGUGGAGAAAUAUUCUGAAAUAAUGAACGUUGCACGCAUCUGCGUGCAUCUGCGUUUGUAAUGCCAGCAGAAAACCACCCCCGCGGCAGUGGGGCAGCCAGGAUGCUGUGAGCACCGGCGGGCACCAGGCGGCUCCACGGGAGCGUCCAUCCCGCUCUGAGCUGCGGGAGAGCCGAUUUGCAGCUCCGGGAACAGUCGCAUAUAGACAGAGCCCAGCCUGAUGCAAACCUCAGAGAAAGGAUAGAUGAAGGAAGAGAAGAGGUACUCAUCUACGCCCUCAGUUCUUCAAGGGUUUGAAAAAAUUAACCCUGGAGAGCUGCAGGUUUCUACAUGUCGGAACUGGCGAAGUAUUGCUGUGACUCUUGCUAUCAGAAAUUCCUACAUUAGAGGUUUGAUGGCUUUGAAUUUUGUGCACCUCUCUAACCAAAAAUCAGAAGCACCUGUUCAUCUUUCGGGCUGCAGAUAAGAUGCACACGACUAGCCCAGUGUUCCUGCUGGCAGCACAGACUUCUGCUAUUUAACAUUCAUGGACUGAAGCUUGUUGCAGCCUGCUCCUGCAUAUAACACAGAAUUGGCUAAGGAUACCUGCCCUGAGCUCUUAAAUUUCUCUUAGAAUUACUGUAUAUUGUUAUGUUGGGAAUUAGAUGAAACAUUUCUGAGUGUUUCAGAUCAGACAGCCGUAGCAACAGGAACCACCUUACAAAGGAGUGUGAGGCCUAUUCACCGUGUGAGCUACACGAGUAGUGAUCUCAGAUUGGGGAAUUCAAACACUGG
ensembl:lncRNA